UGAUAGCUGUGAAGCGUGAGGUUGCCGCCAUCGGCGGGAUAUUCCGUGGAGCGAAUGUCAAGUCUUGAUACUGACGACAA
rnacentral:ncRNA from 1 species